rnacentral:rRNA from 1 species
AUUGAACGCUGGCGGAAUGCUUUACACAUGCAAGUCGAACGGUAGAGGGGGCAACCCCUCGAGAGCGGCGAACGGGUGAGUAAUAUAUCGGAACGUGCCCAGUCGUGGGGGAUAACGUAGCGAAAGUUACGCUAAUACCGCAUACGAUCUAAGGAUGAAAGCGGGGGAUCGCAAGACCUCGCGCGAUUGGAGCGGCCGAUAUCAGAUUAGGUAGUUGGUGGGGUAAAGGCUCACCAAGCCAACGAUCUGUAGCUGGUCUGAGAGGACGACCAGCCACACUGGAACUGAGACACGGUCCAGACUCCGACGGGAGGCAGCAGUGGGGAAUUUUGGACAAUGGACGCAAGUCUGAUCCAGCCAUUCCGCGUGCAGGAUGAAGGCCCUUGGGUUGUAAACUGCUUUUGUACGGAACGAAAAGGUCUCUCUUAAUACGGGGGACUCAUGACGGUACCGUAAGAAUAAGCACCGGCUAACUACGUGCCAGCAGCCGCCGUAA